AUACGGAGGAUGCAAGCGUUAUCCGGAUUUAUUGGGUUUAAAGGGUGCGUAGGCGGCCUUGUAAGUCAGUGGUGAAAACCUGCAGCUCAACUGUAGGCGUGCCAAUGAAACUGUGAGGCUUGAGUGACGUUGAGGCAGGCGGAAUGUGUAGUGUAGCGGUGAAAUGCUUAGAUAUUACACAGAACACCGAUUGCGUAGGCAGCUUGCUAAAGGUUAACUGACGCUGAUGCACGAAAGCGUGGGGAUC
rnacentral:rRNA from 1 species